GAUGAACGCUAGCUACAGGCUUAACACAUGCAAGUCGAGGGGAAACGAUAUUGGAAGCUUGCUUCCGAUAGGCGUCGACCGGCGCACGGGGGAGUAACGCGUAUCCAACCUGCCCAUCACUUGGGGAUAACCUUGCGAAAGUAAGACUAAUACCCAAUGACGUCUCUAGAAGACAUCUGAAAGAGAUUAAAUAUUUAACGGUGAUGGAUGGGGAUGCGUCUGAUUAGCUUGUUGGCGGGGUAACGGCCCACCAAGGCGACGAUCAGGAGGGGGUCUGAGAGGAAGGUCCCCCACAUUGGAACUGAGACACGGUCCAAACUCCUACGGGAGGCAGCAGUGAGGAAUAUUGGUCAAUGGGCGAGAGCCUGAACCAGCCAAGUAGCGUGCAGGAUGACGGCCCUAUGGGUUGUAAACUGCUUUUAUAAGGGAAUAAAGUGGGAGUCGUGACUCCUUUUGCAUGUACCUUAUGAAUAAGGACCGGCUAAUUCCGUGCCAGCAGCCGCCGUAA
rnacentral:rRNA from 1 species